rnacentral:rRNA from 1 species
UACGUAGGGUGCGAGCGUUAAUCGGAAUUACUGGGCGUAAAGCGUGCGCAGGCGGUUUUGUAAGACAGGCGUGAAAUCCCCGAGCUCAACUUGGGAAUUGCGCUUGGGACUGCAAGGCUAGAGUGUGUCAGAGGGGGGUAGAAUUCCACGUGUAGCAGUGAAAUGCGUAGAGAUGUGGAGGAAUACCGAUGGCGAAGGCAGCCCCCUGGGACAUGACUGACGCUCAUGCACGAAAGCGUGGGGAGCAAACAGG